rnacentral:rRNA from 1 species
CCUACGGGGGGCAGCAGUGGGGAAUUUUCCGCAAUGGGCGAAAGCCUGACGGAGCAAUACCGCGUGAGGGAUGACGGCCUAUGGGUUGUAAACCUCUUUUUUCAGGGAGGAAAAAAAUGACGUUACCUGAAGAAUAAGCAUCGGCUAACUCCGUGCCAGCAGCCGCGGUAAGACGGGGGAUGCAAGUGUUAUCCGGAAUCACUGGGCGUAAAGCGUCUGUAGGUGGUUUAAUAAGUCAACUGUUAAAUCUUGAGGCUCAACCUCAAAACCGCAGUCGAAACUAUUAGACUAGAGUAUAGUAGGGGUAAAGGGAAUUUCCAGUGGAGCGGUGAAAUGCGUAGAGAUUGGAAAGAACACCGAUGGCGAAGGCACUUUACUGGGCUAUUACUAACACUGAGAGACGAAAGCUAGGGUAGCAAAUGGGAUUAGAUACCCGUGUAGUC